rnacentral:rRNA from 1 species
AGAAUCAACGCUGGCGGCGUGCCUAACACAUGCAAGUCGAACGAGAAAGUGGAGCAAUCCAUUAGUAAAGUGGCGCACGGGUGAGUAACACGUGACUAACCUACCCUUGAGUGGGGGAUAACCUAGAGAAAUCUGGGCUAAUACCGCAUAAUACCUUCGGGUCAAAGGAGCAAUUCGCUUUAGGAGGGGGUCGCGGCCGAUUAGUUAGUUGGCGGGGUAAUGGCCCACCAAGACUGUGAUCGGUAUCCGGCCUGAGAGGGCGCACGGACACACUGGAACUGAAACACGGUCCAGACUCCUACGGGAGGCAGCAGUGGGGAAUUUGCGCAAUGGGGGAAACCCUGACGCAGCAACGCCGCGUGGAGGAUGAAGCCCCUUGGGGCGUAAACUCCUUUCGAUCGGGAAGAUAAUGACGGUACCGAGAGAAGAAGCCCCGGCUAACUUCGCGCCAGCAGCCGC